AAUGAACGCUGGCGGCAGGCCUAAAACAUGCAAGUCGAACGCCCUAGCAAUAGGGAGUGGCGCACGGGUGAGUAACAUGUGGGAAUAUGCCUUUUGGUACGGAACAACGUUUGGAAACGAACGCUAAUACCGUAUGGUCCCUCCGGGGUAAAGAUUUAUCGCCAAAAGAUUAGCCCGCACUAGAUUAGCUAGUUGGUAAGGUAAUGGCUUACCAAGGCUACGAUCUAUAGCUGUUCUGAGAGGAAGAUCAGCCACACUGGGACUGAUACACGGCCCAGACUCCUACGGGAGGCAGCAGUUAGGAAUAUUGGACAAUGGGCGCAAGCCUGAUCCAGCCAUGCCGCGUGAGUGAUGAAGGCCUUCGGGUUGUAAAGCUCUUUAGCCGACGAAUAUAAUGACUGUAGUCGGAGAAUAAGCCCCGGCUAACUUCGUGCCAGCCGCCGCCGUAAAAC
rnacentral:rRNA from 1 species